AGAGUUUGAUCAUGGCUCAGAUUGAACGCUGGCGGCAGGCUUAACACAUGCAAGUCGAACGGUAACAGAACUAGCUUGCUAGUUGCUGACGAGUGGCGGACGGGUGAGUAACGCGUAGGAAUCUACCGAAUAGUGGGGGACAACAGUUGGAAACGGCUGCUAAUACCGCAUACGCCCUACGGGGGAAAGGAGGGGAUCUUCGGACCUUUCGCUAUUUGAUGAGCCUGCGUGAGAUUAGUUAGUUGGUGGGGUAAUGGCUCACCAAGGCGACGAUCUCUAGCUGGUCUGAGAGGAUGAUCAGCCACACUGGGACUGAGACACGGCCCAGACUCCUACGGGAGGCAGCAGUGGGGAAUAUUGCACAAUGGGGGAAACCCUGAUGCAGCCAUGCCGCGUGUGUGAAGAAGGCCUUCGGGUUGUAAAGCACUUUCAGUUGUGAGGA
rnacentral:rRNA from 1 species